rnacentral:rRNA from 1 species
UGGGGAAUCUUGCGCAAUGGACGAAAGUCUGACGCAGCGACGCCGCGUGGGUGAUGAAGGCCUUCGGGUUGUAAAGCCCUGUGGGGAGGGACGAAUAAGUUCCAGCUAAUACCUGGAGCGAUGACGGUACCUCCUUAGCAAGCACCGGCUAACUCUGUGCCAGCAGCCGCGGUAAGACAGAGGGUGCAAACGUUGUUCGGAAUUACUGGGCGUAAAGCGCGUGUAGGCGGCCAUGCAAGUCGGAUGUGAAAGCCCUCGGCUCAACCGGGGAAGUGCACUCGAAACUGCAAGGCUAGAGUCUCGGAGAGGAUCGUGGAAUUCUCGGUGUAGAGGUGAAAUUCGUAGAUAUCGAGAGGAACACCGGUGGCGAAGGCGGCGAUCUGGACGAUGACUGACGCUGAGACGCGAAAGCGUGGGGAGCAAACAG